GAUGAAGAACGUAGCGAAAUGCGAUAAGUAAUGCGAAUUGCAGAAUUUCCGUGAGUCAUCGAAUCUUUGAACGCACAUUGCGCCCAUUGGCAUUCCGAUGGGCAUGCCUGUUCGAGCGUCAUUAUCCUCCCUCAAACCCCUGGGUUUGGUGUUGGACUGUGUGGUGCCUGGCACCACUGGUCUCAAAGACAAUGACGGCGUCCGUGGGACCCUCGGUGCAACGAGCUUUUCGAAGCACGCGUCGAGUGGACAGUCUCUCCGGGCCGGUCACCUCUACAAUUUUUCUCAGGUUGACCUCGGAUCAGGUAGGAAUACCCGCUGAACUUAAGCAUAUCAAUAAGCGGAGGA
rnacentral:misc_RNA from 1 species